rnacentral:rRNA from 1 species
UACGUAGGGGGCGAGCGUUGUCCGAAGUUACUGGGCGUAAAGCGCGCGUAGGCGGUUAAUUAAGUCUGUGGUGAAAGGUUCAGCGCUCAACGCGAACAUUGCCCUGGAUACUGGUUGACUUGAGUCUGGGAGGGGGUAGUGGAAUUCCUGGGUGUAGCGGUGAAAUGCGUAGAUAAUCAGGAGGAACACCGGUGGCGAAGGCGACUACCUGGCCUAAGACUGACCGUGAGGUGCGAAAGCGUGGGGAGCGAACGGG